rnacentral:rRNA from 1 species
CAGAUGGGAGCUUGCUCCCUGAUGUUAGCGGCGGACGGGUGAGUAACACGUGGGUAACCUGCCUGUAAGACUGGGAUAACUCCGGGAAACCGGGGCUAAUACCGGAUGGUUGUUUGAACCGCAUGGUUCAGACAUAAAAGGUGGCUUCGGCUACCACUUACAGAUGGACCCGCGGCGCAUUAGCUAGUUGGUGAGGUAACGGCUCACCAAGGCAACGAUGCGUAGCCGACCUGAGAGGGUGAUCGGCCACACUGGGACUGAGACACGGCCCAGACUCCUACGGGAGGCAGCAGUAGGGAAUCUUCCGCAAUGGACGAAAGUCUGACGGAGCAACGCCGCGUGAGUGAUGAAGGUUUUCGGAUCGUAAAGCUCUGUUGUUAGGGAAGAACAAGUGCCGUUCAAAUAGGGCGGCACCUUGACGGUACCUAACCAGAAAGCCACGGCUAACUACGUGCCAGCAGCCGCGGUAAUACGUAGGUGGCAAGCGUUGUCCGGAAUUAUUGGGCGUAAAGGGCUCGCAGGCGGUUUCUUAAGUCUGAUGUGAAAGCCCCCGGCUCAACCGGGGAGGGUCAUUGGAAACUGGGGAACUUGAGUGCAGAAGAGGAGAGUGGAAUUCCACGUGUAGCGGUGAAAUGCGUAGAGAUGUGGAGGAACACCAGUGGCGAAGGCGACUCUCUGGUCUGUAACUGACGCUGAGGAGCGAAAGCGUGGGGAGCGAACAGGAUUAGAUACCCUGGUAGUCCACGCCGUAAACGAUGAGUGCUAAGUGUUAGGGGGUUUCCGCCCCUUAGUGCUGCAGCUAACGCAUUAAGCACUCCGCC